AUUAACCGAAUGCCUUCUUCUGUGUUGCAGCAUCAAAGUCCUCACUCAGUUCUUUUUCCAGAUCAAGAUCCCUGACCUCUACCAUUGCGUGUGUUUGGCUGUACUUGUUUUGUUCAUACUCACACCCUUGGGAAAGACAAACUACAACCUAAAUAUGUUAAAUGUGUCUUUCUAUGAUACUCUUAUGUUCAAAAAGGUUACAAAUGUUAUGAUCCAACAAUAAACAAAUAUUUUAUCUUAGCAGAUGUAACCUUCUUUGAAAUAUCCCCAUAUUUUUCAUCAAACACUACAACAAAAAGACUCAUUUCUGAUGUUUUACCUAUUCCAUUUCUUUCUUCAUCACAAAUCCAUAUUCAUAGUCCUCCUCUCCAAGUCUAAUUCCGUCGUCCUCAUCCUCCUACUAACACCAAUGAUACUUCUCUUCAUGAUACAGGUACACUGGUUGCUCCUGAUGACUCAUCGCCUAUUCCUCCAUCACCUAAUCCAAUGAUGCCUUUAACAGGUGUAGCAUCUCCUCCCUUUGCCCUUUGCAAAGGUAUUCAUUCCUCUCGCAACCCUCAUCCCAUUUAUAAUUCUCUCAGUUAUCAUCGUUUAUCGCCAUCCUAUUAUACUUUUGUUUCUAUCUUAUCUUCUGUUUUCAUACCUAAGACUGUUAGAGAAGCAUUAGAACAUGCAGGGUGGCGAGAUGCCAUGGUACAGGAAAUGAUUGCUCUUCAUAAUAAUGGUACUUGGGAGUUAGUUU
rnacentral:misc_RNA from 1 species